ACGGGAGGCAGCAGUGGGGAAUAUUGCACAAUGGGCGAAAGCCUGAUGCAGCGACGCCGCGUGAAUGAAGAAGUAUUUCGGUAUGUAAAGUUCUAUCAGCAGGGAAGAUAAUGACGGUACCUGACUAAGAAGCACCGGCUAAAUACGUGCCAGCAGCCGCGGUAAUACGUAUGGUGCAAGCGUUAUCCGGAUUUACUGGGUGUAAAGGGAGCGCAGGCGGCCUAGCAAGUCUGAAGUGAAAUCCCGGGGCUCACCCCCGGAACUGCUUUGGAAACUGUUAGGCUAGAGUGUCGGAGGGGUAAGCGGAAUUCCUAGUGUAGCGGUGAAAUGCGUAGAUAUUAGGAGGAACACCAGUGGCGAAGGCGGCUUACUGGACGAUAACUGACGCUGAGGCUCGAAAGCGUGGGGAGCAAACAGGAUUAGAUACCCUGGUA
rnacentral:rRNA from 1 species